rnacentral:rRNA from 1 species
CUACGGGACGCUCCAGUGAGGAAUAUUGCACAAUGGGGGGAACCCUGAUGCAGCAACGCCGCGUGGAGGAUGACGCAUUUCGGUGUGUAAACUCCUUUUAUAUGUCAAGAAAAUGACGGUAGCAUAUGAAUAAGCGCCGGCUAACUCCGUGCCAGCAGUCGCGGUAAUACGGAGGGCGCAAGCGUUACUCGGAAUCACUGGGCGUAAAGGACGCGUAGGCGGGUUGAAAAGUCAGGUGUGAAAGCCUACAGCUUAACUGUAGAACUGCACUUGAAACUGGUAACCUAGAGUAUGGGAGGGGGAGAUGGAAUUAGUGGUGUAGGGGUAAAAUCCGUAGAUAUCACUAGGAAUACCUAAAGCGAAGGCGAUCUCCUGGAACAUAACUGACGCUAAGGCGUGAAAGCGUGGGGAGCAAACAGGAUUAGAUACCCGUGUAGUC